rnacentral:rRNA from 1 species
AGAGUUUGAUCCUGGCUCAGAACGUACGCUGGCGGCACGCCUAACACAUGCAAGUCGAACGCAGUAGCAAUACUGAGUGGCAGACGGGUGAGUAACAUGUGGGAAUCUGCCUUGUGGUUCAGGACAACAUUGGGAAACCGAUGCUAAUACUGGAUAAGCCCUUACGGGGAAAGUUUUAAUGCCAUAAGAUGAGCCCGCAUUUGAUUAGUUAGUUGGUGAGGUAAUGGCUCACCAAGACAAUGAUCAAUAGCUGAUCUGAGAGGAUGAUCAGCCACACUGGGACUGAGACACGGCCCAGACUCCUACGGGAGGCAGCAGUGGGGUAUCUUGCACAAUGGAGGAAACUCUGAUGCAGCGAUGCCGCGUGAGUGAAGAAGGCCUUUGGGUUGUAAAGCUCUUUUGUAGGGGAAGAUAAUGACUGUACCCUAAGAAUAAGGUCCGGCUAACUUCGUGCCAGCAGCCGCGGUAAUACGAAGGGACCUAGCGUAGUUCGGAAUUACUGGGCGUAAAGCGCGCGUAGGCCGUUGAGUUAGUUAAUUGUGAAAUCCCAAAGCUUAACUUUGGAACUGCAAUUAAAACUGCUCGACUAGAGUUUGAUAGAGGAAAGCGGAAUACAUAGUGUAGAGGUGAAAUUCGUAGAUAUUAUGUAGAACACCAGUUGCGAAGGCGGCUUUCUGGAUCAACACUGACGCUGAGGCGCGAAAGUAUGGGUAGCAAAGAGGAUUAGAUACCCUCGUAGUCCAUACCAUAAACGAUGAUUGCUAGAUGUUGGAAAUUUAUUUUCAGUAUCGCAGCUAACGCAUUAAGCAAUCCGCCUGGGGAGUACGACCGCAAGGUUAAAACUCAAAUGAAUUGACGGGGACCCGCACAAGCGGUGGAGCAUGUGGUUUAAUUCGAAGAUACGCGCAGAACCUUACCAACCCUUGACAUGUCUGUCGCGAGUUUAGGAA